rnacentral:ncRNA from 12 species
UUUUCAUGUGUCCGUGGUUGAAAGUCGAUGCCAGUCGCAGGCGAAACGAUCCACGUAAGCCGGGAAAAUUCCGGUGAGCAUGGUGCGGCUUAGAGGUAAGUCCUGCCAGCGCCUCGGCGCUGAGAGGGUCAGUAGUGGGGAGGCAGAGGCCUUAUGAGCGAACGCUCCGGCAGGCGAGUGUGGGGUCAAAGACCAGGUCGGGCAUGAAAA